UAGGUACGACGGUUGGUGCAGCGUUGUCGUCAGCUCGUGUCGUGAGAUGUUGGGUUAAGUCCCGCAACGAGCGCAACCCUUGUCAUUAGUUGCCAUCAUUUAGUUGGGCACUCUAAUGAGACUGCCGGUGACAAACCGGAGGAAGGUGGGGAUGACGUCAAGUCCUCAUGGCCCUUAUGGGUAGGGCUUCACACGUCAUACAAUGGUCGGUACAGAGGGUUGCCAAGCCGCGAGGUGGAGCCAAUCCCUUAAAGCCGAUCGUAGUCCGGAUCGUAGUCUGCAACUCGACUACGUGAAGUCGGAAUCGCUAGUAAUCGCAGAUCAGCAUGCUGCGGUGAAUACGUUCCCGGGCCUU
rnacentral:rRNA from 1 species